rnacentral:rRNA from 1 species
AGCUCUCCGAGUGGUGUGGAUGUUUAUUGGGCCUAAAGCAUCCGUACGCUGGCUAAGUUAGGUCCCUUGGUUAAAUCCACCGAAUUAAUCGUUGGAUUGCGGGGGAUACUGCUUGGCUAGGGGACGAGAGAGGCAGACGGUAUUUUUUGGGGUAGGGGUGAAAUCCUAUAAUCCCAGGAAGACCACCAGUGGCGAAGGCUGUCUGCUAGAACGCGCCCGACGGUGAGGGAUGAAAGCUGGGGGAGCGAACC